UAGGGAAUCUUCCGCAAUGGGCGAAAGCCUGACGGAGCAACGCCGCGUGAGUGAUGAAGGUCUUCGGAUCGUAAAACUCUGUUAUUAGGGAAGAACAAAUGUGUAAGUAACUAUGCACGUCUUGACGGUACCUAAUCAGAAAGCCACGGCUAACUACGUGCCAGCAGCCGCGGUAAUACGUAGGUGGCAAGCGUUAUCCGGAAUUAUUGGGCGUAAAGCGCGCGUAGGCGGUUUUUUAAGUCUGAUGUGAAAGCCCACGGCUAAACCGUGGAGGGUCAUUGGAAACUGGAAAACUGGAGUGCAGAAGAGGAAAGGGGAAUUCCAUGUGUAGCGGUGAAAUGCGCAGAGAUAUGGAGGAACACCAGUGGCGAAGGCGACUGUCUGGUCUGUAACUGACGCGGAUGUGCGAAAGCGUGGGGAUCAAACAGG
rnacentral:rRNA from 1 species